rnacentral:rRNA from 1 species
UACGUAGGGUGCAAGCGUUAAUCGGAAUUACUGGGCGUAAAGCGUGCGCAGGCGGUGAUGUAAGACAGAUGUGAAAUCCCCGGGCUCAACCUGGGAACUGCAUUUGUGACUGCAUCGCUGGAGUACGGCAGAGGGGGAUGGAAUUCCACGUGUAGCAGUGAAAUGCGUAGAUAUGUGGAGGAACACCGAUGGCGAAGGCAGCCCCCUGGGUUAACACUGACGCUCAUGCACGAAAGCGUGGGGAGCAAACAGG